rnacentral:tRNA from 1 species
AGCGUGGAUCGUCCAAAGGUAGGACGCUGGAAGUUGCAACCACAGACACCGAGAUGCCGGUCAUCGCAGGACUGUGACAGAAACCAGACAUUCGGGGUUCGAUUCCCUGGCCACGCUC